CACGGGGGGAGCAAGCGUUGUUCGGAAUCACUGGGCGUAAAGGGCGUCUAGGCGGUUGGAUAAGUGGGAUGUGAAUGCCCCGGCUCACCGGGACCGGCAUCCCAACUGUUCGACUUGAGUAUGGGAGAGGAUGUGGGAAUUCCUGGGUGUAGCGGUGAAAUGCGUAGAUAUCGAGGAGGAACACCGGUGGCGAAGGCGCACAUCUGGCCCAAUACUGACGCUAAAGCGCGAAAGCUAGGGAGCAAACAGGG
rnacentral:rRNA from 1 species